rnacentral:rRNA from 1 species
UUCCGUAGGUGAACCUGCGGAAGGAUCAUUACCGAGUGCGGGUCCUUUGGGCCCAACCUCCCAUCCGUGUCUAUUGUACCCUGUUGCUUCGGCGGGCCCGCCGCUUGUCGGCCGCCGGGGGGGCGCCUCUGCCCCCCGGGCCCGUGCCCGCCGGAGACCCCAACACGAACACUGUCUGAAAGCGUGCAGUCUGAGUUGAUUGAAUGCAAUCAGUUAAAACUUUCAACAAUGGAUCUCUUGGUUCCGGCAUCGAUGAAGAACGCAGCGAAAUGCGAUAACUAAUGUGAAUUGCAGAAUUCAGUGAAUCAUCGAGUCUUUGAACGCACAUUGCGCCCCCUGGUAUUCCGGGGGGCAUGCCUGUCCGAGCGUCAUUGCUGCCCUCAAGCCCGGCUUGUGUGUUGGGUCGCCGUCCCCCUCUCCGGGGGGACGGGCCCGAAAGGCAGCGGCGGCACCGCGUCCGAUCCUCGAGCGUAUGGGGCUUUGUCACAUGCUCUGUAGGAUUGGCCGGCGCCUGCCGACGUUUUCCAACCAUUCUUCCAGGUGACCUCGAUCAUGCUCGUUGUA